rnacentral:lncRNA from 1 species
AGUGUUACUAAUGAUUUAUUUAUUUUUAUAUUAAUAUAUUAGACAAUUUUAGUUCAUUGAUAUUUUACUUGUUCUCCCUUUUCUAUCUUUUAUUAGUUUAAGGAGUUUUUUUUCUUUAUGUGAAUAAUAAUAUACUUAUUUUAUUUUGAUAGUUUUUAUUUUAUUUUAUCAAAACAAACUUAUCUUGACUUGUACGUCAAACAUGAA